rnacentral:lncRNA from 1 species
UCGAUGCUCUGGGGCACGGCGGCCGGGUACGCGGCGGUCGCGAGGCUCCGGAGCCUCGCGGUGUAGUUGGCUACGAAGUUGGUGUCGUUGAUCUGCGGCAGGGUCGGCGCGAAGAUGGGGAGGUUGGCGGCGGCGGCGGUGGUGGCGGAGGAGGAGGAGGAGGAGGAGGAGGAGGAGGAGGGGUCCUCGUACUCGAGGAUGCCGGCGACGGUGGUGUUGUCGAAGGUGCCCUGCGUGUUGGUGUAGGGGCGGGCCUCCAUGUAGUAGCGCGCGCCCGGGAACGCCGGCUUGGCGGCGAGGAGCACGUUGCUG